rnacentral:rRNA from 1 species
UACGGAGGGAGCUAGCGUUGUUCGGAAUUACUGGGCGUAAAGCGCACGUAGGCGGCUUUUUAAGUCAGGUGUUAAAUCCCGGGGCUCAACCCCGGAACUGCCCUUGAAACUGGAGAGCUAGAAUCUUGGAGAGGCGAGUGGAAUUCCGAGUGUAGAGGUGAAAUUCGUAGAUAUUCGGAAGAACACCAGUGGCGAAGGCGACUCGCUGGACAAGUAUUGACGCUGAGGUGCGAAAGCGUGGGGAGCAAACAGG